GAUCAUGGCUCAGAUUGAACGCUGGCGGAAUGCUUUACACAUGCAAGUCGAACGGCAGCACGGACUUCGGUCUGGUGGCGAGUGGCGAACGGGUGAGUAAUAUAUCGGAACGUGCCCAGUCGUGGGGGAUAACGUAGCGAAAGCUACGCUAAUACCGCAUACGACCCGAGGGUGAAAGCGGGGGACUCGCAAGAGCCUCGCGCGAUUGGAGCGGCCGAUGGCAGAUUAGGUAGUUGGUGGGGUAAAGGCCCACCAAGCCUGCGAUCUGUAGCUGGUCUGAGAGGACGACCAGCCACACUGGGACUGAGACACGGCCCAGACUCCUACGGGAGGCAGCAGUGGGGAAUAUUGGGCAAUGGAGGAAACUCUGACCCAGCGACGCCGCGUGCGGGAUGAAGGCCCUCGGGUUGUAAACCGCUUUCAGCAGGGAAGAAGCGAAAGUGACGGUACCUGCAGAAGAAGCACCGGCUAACUAUGUG
rnacentral:rRNA from 1 species